UACAGAGGGUGCGAGCGUUGUUCGGAAUUAUUGGGCGUAAAGAGCUCGUAGGCGGUCUGUCGCGUCGGAUGUGAAAGCCCGGGGCUUAACCCCGGGUCUGCAUUCGAUACGGGCAGACUAGAGUGUGGUAGGGGAGAUCGGAAUUCCUGGUGUAGCGGUGAAAUGCGCAGAUAUCAGGAGGAACACCGGUGGCGAAGGCGGGUCUCUGGGCCGUAACUGACGCUGAGGAGCGAAAGCGUGGGGAGCGAACAGG
rnacentral:rRNA from 1 species